AUGGCGGAAGGAAAAGGGGCCAUGUCAACGAAUCUGAAAAUGAUGCCACAACAACAUAUCGGUUCCGGCAUCGGCACGGUGUACUUGGCGAUCCAAAACGGAGCAGAACAAAGGUCCUGGUUACAGUCUUGUUUUUUGGACUUGGUGGACAUCGAGUCUCGCGGGGAUCUUGUCGGUGAUGAGUACUUGGAGCUGCGGCAGAGGACAAACAUGGGACCUGGCGCCUGGUGCAACCGGCGAUUGAUGAGGCAGAGAUGGAGCUGCUCUGGCAUGGGGAGGCGCAGGGUGCUAGAGUAG
rnacentral:rRNA from 1 species